UCACAUGAUGAUAAAAUAUUAACGCAUCCUGCAGUUUCACAUUUAUAGUAUUUAAUAUUUUUACAUGUAUGUAUAGACAGUUAUAUUUUUAAUUUUCUUACACAUGUGUAAAGUCUCCAAUGGUAAAUUACAUUUGACUGUACACAAAAUUUCAACUACUACAGCUUAAUAGGAACAUUGUACUUUACCGAAACAAAAAUAGGAUGAAAUAGUUCAUGAUGGGAAUACGUAAAUAUUGUAUGGCAUUGUACAGUAUCAAUCAUGGUGAAUCUGAAUCACGAACAUUGCCAAAACUGGAGUUCUCUUCUCCCCCGAAAUUAACAAAAAACAUAAAAAUACAACACUUCUCACUCAUAUUUCCAAACUACUUUCAUAAGGCGCAGAGAGCUGCUCCAGUGAGAAAACACACAAAAAGCUUCUACAAUCCUAGGAGAUCAGCGAAACAUGAGAAAUACUCAAGUAACAAUGAAUGAUGGACUGAAAUGCAAACUGUAGUUCUGCAAGUACGAACAUCUAUCCUCUUAGAUAAAUAUACAUCUAUCCUCUUAUACAGAUAAAUAUUUUUGCAAUCUAUCACUUUUUCCCUGAAGCCAAGAAUCGAAACACUAUGAGGUAUUUCUGAACUGACACAUACAUGUUAGCAAAGCCAUGACUGCAUGUGAAAGCAUAUAUCUGUAGUUCUUAAUUAGCGGCAAGUAUGCACUGCAAAUUGGAAUAAUUUCAGGCAUUGAAUUAAAAAAAGAAAUUGAAUUGUUAACAGAAAACAUAUUGCCUAUGUUGAUCGCCUUUUUUUGCUGUGGUCAUGCUCUAUAAACUUUGAAUAUCACACAUAAUUUGUAUUCUAUCUCAAACAAAAUUGAACAAAAGGUUUAUAGCUCAUUCCUAUAACAAACCCGACUGCCAUACAGAAUAAAAGUCUACAGCAAAUUUUGUGAAAAAAGCUAGAAAGUAGAAAUCUUACAUCUUUUUCAAAGCUCUGGCGUUUAUUGGCUUGGAGCUCCUGAACCUGCUUUUCAAUACAGUGCAAGUCAAAUCUCAGCCUCUUGUCAUAGUCAUAGUAUGAUCUCCCCUAAAAUCCUCCUCACAGGCCUCCAUCUCGAAACCUUCAUGGGCUAGAGAAAAAGAUAAUAAAACAUGCCAAACAGAUUGAGAAAAGUGACAUAAUAAGUAUCUAUUGGAAAGAUCGAGCCUAGGAUUAUCUAUUUUUUGCUUCGUUGUGCAUUGCAUCUGCAGUUGCACAAAAAAUUGAUCAUUGCAUUCUUCUAAAUCCAGAAUGUCCAGUCUUUACAAUCUACUCCCUCUGUUCCUAAAUAUUUGUCUUUUUAGAGAUUUUUCAAAUGGACUACCACAUAGGGAUGUAUAUAGACAUAUUUUAGAGUGUAAAUUCACUCAUUUUGCUCCGUAUGUAGUCACUUGUUGAAAUCUCUAGAAAGACAAAUAUUUAGGAACGGAGGGAGUAGCUCAUUACAAUCAUCAUACAGGUAAGUUCAACAUUGAGAAAAGAAAGAAACAGAAAAGAAAAAAGAGGAAUAGGCAAAGAAGAAAUUGUUGCUAUACUUUUGCUAGAAGAUAACCCAGCCUAUAUGACUACGUCGAUCUAGGCAAAGAUCUUUACCCAACAUCCUUCUCUCUAAUUAUCAAAAAUUCAUGAUUGGAAUCAAAACCAAGCAAACUUUCAUAUUGAUCUGCCUACACUUUAUACUUUCAACACCAACUGUACAUUGCACAUUAUCCACAAUGCAAACUGAAAGAUAUGCAGUUCUUGUUUGAGAACCGAAGAGAUAUGCAUGCGUAUCAUAGUACUGAAAGGGGUAUAUAGAAAAGCUAGUGUCGUGGAAAAUCAGAACACAAAAUUCGAAUUAUUUGGUGUGCGAAUGGCGCUUACACAAUCUGAAUCUGAUGCCGCUCGGGCUCACUGUUGUAGAAGGUGCAACCGCUGCUGAACGGGAACAGCAACCCGGUAAAGAAGAAUUGAAUACUACAUAGAAGACAUCAUGGAGGGAAAUAUGAUGCACCCAAAAGGCCAAAACAAUACCAAUUUAACAAAUAGCAGAGUUUUGAAAGGCACUCACAUAC
rnacentral:lncRNA from 1 species